UACAGGGGGGGCAAGCGUUGUUCGGAAUUACUGGGCGUAAAGGGUUCGUAGGUGGCCAACUAAGUCAGACGUGAAAUCCCUCAGCUUAACUGGGGAACUGCGUCUGAUACUGGAUGGCUUGAGUGCAGGAGAGGAACGCGGAAUUCCAGGUGUAGCGGUGAAAUGCGUAGAUAUGCGGAGGAACACCGAUGGCGAAGGCAAUCCCCUGGGCCUGCACUGACGCUCAUGCACGAAAGCGUGGGGAGCAAACAGG
rnacentral:rRNA from 1 species